rnacentral:lncRNA from 1 species
UGUUGCUGCCUCCUUUGUAUGUACAGUCUUGCCUUUGAACUUUUUCCAACUCCUGACUCUCCAUGUGUGAUAUAAGAUUGCUCCACAAGUAGCCGCAAUAGUCUCCUUCUUAAAUUUCUUCCAGUGCGUCAACAUUAUUCUUUUCAGUGUCUGCUUGAUCCCAUUGUUUUGCAACUCUAUUCCUAUCCAUUGUUUCACCUCUUUCCAUAUAGCCUGUGCCCAAUCACACUUAACGAAUAAGUGCAUUGUAGUCUCCAUGACCUUCUUAUCACAAAGGCAGCAAUCAGUGUCCUCCACCUGAAUGUGUAGUUUCAGUUUCCUCUCCUGCGUAAGUAAUCUUCCUUGUACAGCACGUUAUGAAUCUAUGUUUAGGUAGAGCCAUAGAGGUCCAUACUAGCUCAACAGUUCUCAUACGUGAUUGUUGGCCAAUUAGUGCUAAGUAACGGCUAGUGAUGGAAUAUUUUCCAGUUUGUGUGAGCAUGUAUCUUCCUUGGUUAUACCAACCAAGCAUUUGGACCUUGAUUGCAUUUAGCUUCUUCCAAUACCAGCUACAAUCUGCAGGUGUUUUAUGAUUCCAUAUUGUUGAAAAUAGUUAUUUCAACAGAAUUUUACAUCUAUGUCCAUGUAAUAUUAGUCCCACACGUCAAUUCUAUCACACUUUGUUGAGGGGGAAAAACACACACUGUCAAAUUGAUAUACAAGGCUUCUUUUCGCAAUCAAUUAUAUACUUACCAUCUAAUUAUAGAGAAGCUUUAGUUGGAUGGUGAAAUAUCAAACAUCAACAAGUAACACAUCUUUUGGUCUUAUACGUGUAGAAUAGCUUGAUGUUUUUGGCAGGCAUAUUAAUAGUAUUAUCUACAGAACAUGUUAAAACAGGAAAUUUUGCAUACAAGAACAUGAAAAAAAAUAAAAACCUAACAACUUUGUAGACUCGUACACUUAAUUAUUACAUAUAGUGAAAUUAUUAACUAGACAAUGGAGUAGCCACCACAAACAAAGGUAAUUUCCUACGAACAGCGAGCCCAUUGCAUUCAGUCAUCUCCAAAUCCUCCCCUUUUAUCC